GCACAAGCGGUGGAGUAUGUGGUUUAAUUCGAUGCAACGCGAAGAACCUUACCUGGUCUUGACAUCCCGGAGACCCUUAGGAAACUAGGGGGUGCUUCCAUCUGGAAGAAUCUGGAGACAGGUGCUGCAUGGCUGUCGUCAGCUCGUGUCGUGAGAUGUUGGGUUAAGUCCCGCAACGAGCGCAACCCUUGCCUUUAGUUGCCAGCAGUUCGGCUGGGCACUCUAAAGGGACUGCCGGUGUUAAACCGGAGGAAGGUGGGGAUGACGUCAAGUCCUCAUGGCCUUUAUGACCAGGGCUACACACGUACUACAAUGGCCGGUACAGAGCGCAGCGAGGCCGCGAGGCGGAGCGAAUCGCUUAAAGCCGGUCCCAGUACGGAUUGGAGUCUGCAACCCGACUCCAUGAAGUUGGAAUCGCUAGUAAUCGCGCAUCAGCAUGGCGCGGUGAAUACGUUCCCGGGCCUU
rnacentral:rRNA from 1 species